rnacentral:rRNA from 1 species
AGUGAACGCUGGCGGUAGGCCUAACACAUGCAAGUCGAACGGCAGCACAGUAAGAGCUUGCUCUUACGGGUGGCGAGUGGCGGACUGGUGAGGAAUACAUCGGAAUCUACUUUUUCGUGGGGGAUAACGUAGGGAAACUUACGCUAAUACCGCAUACGACCUACGGGUGAAAGCAGGGGAUCUUCGGACCUUGCGCGAUUGAAUGAGCCGAUGUCGGAUUAGCUAGUUGGCGGGGUAAAGGCCCACCAAGGCGACGAUCCGUAGCUGGUCUGAGAGGAUGAUCAGCCACACUGGAACUGAGACACGGUCCAGACUCCUACGGGAGGCAGCAGUGGGGAAUAUUGGACAAUGGGCGCAAGCCUGAUCCAGCCAUACCGCGUGGGUGAAGAAGGCCUUCGGGUUGUAAAGCCCUUUUGUUGGGAAAGAAAAGCAGCAGGUUAAUACCCCGCUGUUCUGGCGGUACCCAAAGAAUAAGCACCGGCUAACUUCGUG